GCAGACGGGUGAGUAUGCGUAGGAUCUACCUAGUAGUACGGAAUAGCCAUUAGAAAUGGUGGGUAAUACUGUAUAAUCCCCGAGGGGGAAAGAUUUAUCGCUAUUAGAUGAGCCUACGUUAGAUUAGCUAGUUGGUGAGGUAAUGGCUUACCAAGGCUAUGAUCUAUAGCUGGUCUGAGAGGACGAUCAGCCACACUGGAACUGAGAUACGGUCCAGACUCCUACGGGAGGCAGCAGUGGGGAAUAUUGGACAAUGGGCGAAAGCCUGAUCCAGCUAUGCCGCGUGAGUGAAGAAGGCCUUCGGGUUGUAAAACUCUUUCAAUAGGGAAGAUAAUGACGG
rnacentral:rRNA from 1 species